GGAGCCGCCCAUUACGACUAUCAGGUAAAGGCCAAUGAUUAGAGGCAUUGGGGACGCAAACUCCUCGACCUAUUCUCAAACUUUAAAUAGGUAGGAUGGCUCGGCUGCUUCGGUGAGCCGUGCCACGGAAUCGGGUGCUCCAAGUGGGCCAUUUUUGGUAAGCAGAACUGGCGAUGCGGGAUGAACCGGAAGCCGGGUUACG
rnacentral:ncRNA from 1 species